UCCCACCCACACUCCUGACCUAUGACAGCAGAAAAGAAGGGAAUGAGGAAGGGAAGAAAAAUUCAUUUCAGGUUGUUUAUAGGACUCUUUUCUUGAAAAUGAGUAUUUCUUUACAAAAGGCUGUCUCCUGUGAUGGCACUCUCCUAGGACUAGAAAUGGAGAAAAGGGGAAG
rnacentral:lncRNA from 1 species